rnacentral:rRNA from 1 species
AUACGGAGGGGGCUAGCGUUGUUCGGAAUUACUGGGCGUAAAGCGCACGUAGGCGGUAUAUCAAGUUAGGCGUGAAAGCCCUGGGCUCAACCCGGGAACUGCGCUUAUUACUGAUGAACUAGAGUCCGGGAGAGGGUAGCGGAAUUCCCAGUGUAGAGGUGAAAUUCGUAGAUAUUGGGAAGAACACCAGUUGCGAAGGCGGCUACCUGGACCGGUACUGACGCUGAGGUGCGAAAGCGUGGGGAGCAAACAGGAUUAGAAACCCCGGUAGUCC